AAAUUUUUUUGAGGCCAGUAGGCAUUGUCUGCGUUAGGAUUUCUGUAUCAUCCUCCUAACGCAGACAAUGCCUACUGGCCUAAGAAAAAUUU
ensembl:miRNA MIR3166 microRNA 3166